rnacentral:rRNA from 1 species
AGCGAACGCUGGCGGCAGGCCUAACACAUGCAAGUCGAACGAACCCUUCGGGGUUAGUGGCGGACGGGUGAGUAACACGUGGGAACGUGCCUUUAGGUUCGGAAUAACUCAGGGGAACUUGUGCUAUUACCGAAUGUGCCCUUCGGGGGAAAGAUUUAUCGCCUUUAGAGCGGCCCGCGUCUGAUCAGCUAGUUGGUGAGGUAAUGGCUCACCAAGGCUACGAUCAGUAGCUGUUCUGAGAGGAUGACCAGCCACAUUGGGACUGAGACACGGCCCAAACUCCUACGGGAGGCAGCAGUGGGGAAUCUUGCGCAAUGGGCGAAAGCCUGACGCAGCCAUGCCGCGUGGAUGAUGAAGGUCUUAGGAUUGUAAAAUCCUUUCAUCGGUGAAGAUAAUGACUGUAGCCGGAGAAGAAGCCCCGGCUAACUUCGUGCCAGCAGCCGCCGUAAGAC